UCUAUGCCUUACUCAAUUUUUUUGUCCCAGAAUUCAGCAUGCCUGAUGCACAUUGUUUUCAACCAAUUUCGCUGACUAUAUCAAUGAUAAUGAGAAAUAAAGAAACAGAGGCCCAGAUAAUUGAACUACUCUGGACCACACACAGCUACCUUGUCCCAGAACCAGGACUGGAACUCAGUCUAGAAAAAUGGAAGCUCGGAAGAAGUUGUUCAGCAUCUAAAUGGAAUUCCAGCAUGAAUGAGAAGCACUAGUUUCUCACCAUCAAGAGACUGGCCAGGAACUGUGGGAACUCCCACAGCCCAAGACCUCCAUGGUCAAGUGUCUCCAUAGUGGAUGUGACCCAGGAGGGGCGUGAGGACAGGGGUCCUGGGUAUUUCAUCAUGGAGGGGAGACUGGACCCCUGGUUUCCUUUGUCCCUUUUAGUCAGUUUCAAGCUCAGCCUCAGGCAGUGGUCUUCAGUUAUUAUAUACCCUUCUCCUCCCAAAUCUAUUUGUUGCUAAGAUAGUGCUUCUCCCAGUGUUACUUUCCUACAGAGUGAGUAUUGACAGGGGCCUGGGAAGAAUCAUUUACAGUCUGGCCCCUUGGGGAUGUUAGAGUUGCUUCCUUUCAGGUCUUCAGCAUGAAAAUCCCCCUUCUCAGCUUCCCCUCCAGCACCAGGUCUCAACUUUCACCCCCACCCCCAGAUCUCCCAAAUGCCUCUGGUGAAACUCAUGAGAGCAAAAGAUAAAUGACAGUGAAGAGAAGCAGCACAGAGGCAGGGGUACAAACAGAAUUCUGAUUUUUCUUUUCUCCACUUUUUGAGAUGAUUCCAACAUCCCCAACCCAUCUCUAGCAGCAGAGAAGUCCCCUGAGCUUCCCUGAUCAUCAUGAACCUUCAAAGGAUGCUGAGUUGGGGUCCUCUUUCUUCCAUCAAAAGACCCAUCCCUGAGGGUAAAAAGCCCAAGAUGGGAGACAGGGUCUCUGCUGGAAUUACAGAAACUGGCCCAAGACCCAGAACCUGAAUAGAAUGCUUUAGAGUGAAGAGAAGAAUCUGAAUUAAAUCUGGGAGUCCAGCUGCUUGCUUGACAAGGGAGAAGUACAGCAAGUCCUAAAGUGCCCUGACUCACAAGAGACCUGACCCCUGCGGAGAUGUGCCUGACACUGUAAGCCAGCUAAGAACCUGCACUGGGUCUCCUUGGCUCCAUCUCAAACCUGGAGAGAAUGCACGAAAAAAGAAGGGAGAAAAGCAGCGGAGCCUCCCACAGCUGUCAGCCUGAGACAGCUGCUCUCACCUCAGUCCAUCUGGGGAAGGGGCUACAAAGCAGACAAUCUUUAUUCACAAUUGGGGUGGCAGACGGGAGAGACCCCCAGGAGCUGCUCAGCUCUUCCUCCUCCUCCUCCUCGUCACCUGCGGGCCCCACCCUGCCCUGCAAAACCACCAGCUCCAUGGUCUCUGGGUGGGACUCCCAGGUGCCUGGGGAACCAAAACAAGAAAAAGAAUGGAGAGUUUUGAGCAAGAAACUAAUGCCAGGCCAAGAUGGGGAAGAGGCAAAGACUAAGAAUAACAAUGACUUUUAUAGCUGCUGCCAUUCAUUUGUUCACGCAUUCAUUCAACCUCUCGUGUACUGGGCACAGAACAGAAGCUCUGUUGCACAUUAACUCCAAACGUGACCACCACCUUGCCAGAAGGCAACUAACCACCCUGGUUCUAUAGAGCAGGAAGUCAUCUCAGAGCUGCUUAGUAACACAGAGCUGGCCUAUGGGUACAGAAUCCGAAUCCUCACACCUACAAAGCCCACACCUUUUUGCCUCCAUCACAGCAGGAGCUAGGGAAGAACACUGGCCGACUGACCUUUCUGCUCGCUGUAGCCUGGGGGCUGAAAACACAGGCUGAGGCGGCCAUCCAGUGCCAGCCGCAGGAGGCUAUUGGCCGCUCUGUACACAUCAUUUCGGGCCGCCUUGGCUGUCUUGUAACCACGUUUCUCUGCCCAGGCUGGAAGGAGAAAAGAAUGGGGAGGGAAGACCAUCAACCAGGCCCAGUCACCAUCAUCCCACUCCCCUAACACAGUCCUUCCAGUUUCCCCCAGAAUAUUCCAGGCCCGAGAUCUUGCUGGCCCUGAGACAGAAGCCUAGGGGUGACUGGCCAGCUGCCCCAUCGAUGGCAGGACCUCUGAGGAAGGAGAGGAAAGGAGAUAGGGCAAGGGGAGGAAAGCCAGGCGUGUGGAGCCCACCUUCACAGAUGUCCCAGG